rnacentral:rRNA from 1 species
UACAGAGGGGGCAAGCGUUGUUCGGAAUUACUGGGCGUAAAGCGUGCGCAGGCGGCUUUGCAAGACAGAUGUGAAAUCCCCGGGCUUAACCUGGGAACUGCAUUUGUGACUGCAGGGCUAGAGUACGGUAGAGGGGGAUGGAAUUCCGCGUGUAGCAGUGAAAUGCGUAGAUAUGCGGAGGAACACCGAUGGCGAAGGCAAUCCCCUGGACCUGUACUGACGCUCAUGCACGAAAGCGUGGGGAGCAAACAGG